GAAAAAGAGGAGUGGCGAACGGGUGAGUAACACGUGGGUAACCUGCCCAUCAGAAGGGGAUAACACUUGGAAACAGGUGCUAAUACCGUAUAACAAUCGAAACCGCAUGGUUUUGAUUUGAAAGGCGCUUUCGGGUGUCGCUGAUGGAUGGACCCGCGGUGCAUUAGCUAGUUGGUGAGGUCACGGCUCACCAAGGCCACGAUGCAUAGCCGACCUGAGAGGGUGAUCGGCCACAUUGGGACUGAGACACGGCCCAAACUCCUACGGGAGGCAGCAGUAGGGAAUCUUCGGCAAUGGACGAAAGUCUGACCGAGCAACGCCGCGUGAGUGAAGAAGGUUUUCGGAUCGUAAAACUCUGUUGUUAGAGAAGAACAAGGAUGAGAGUAACUGUUCAUCCCUUGACGGUAUCUAACCAGAAAGCCACGGCUAACUACGUGCCAGCAGCCGCGGUAAUACGUAGGUGGCAAGCGUUGUCCGGAUUUAUUGGGCGUAAAGCGAGCGCAGGCGGUUUCUUAAGUCUGAUGUGAAAGCCCCCGGCUCAACCGGGGAGGGUCAUUGGAAACUGGGAGACUUGAGUGCAGAAGAGGAGAGUGGAAUUCCAUGUGUAGCGGUGAAAUGCGUAGAUAUAU
rnacentral:rRNA from 1 species